rnacentral:rRNA from 1 species
ACUCCUACGGGAGGCAGCAGUGGGGAAUAUUGCACAAUGGGGGAAACCCUGAUGCAGCCAUGCCGCGUGUGUGAAGAAGGCCUUCGGGUUGUAAAGCACUUUCAGUAGGGAGGAAGGUAGUGUAGUUAACACCUGCAUUAUUUGACGUUACCUACAGAAGAAGCACCGGCUAACUCCGUGCCAGCAGCCGCGGUAAUACGGAGGGUGCGAGCGUUAAUCGGAAUUACUGGGCGUAAAGCGCAUGCAGGCGGCCUGUUAAGUCAGAUGUGAAAGCCCGGGGCUUAACCUCGGAACUGCAUUUGAAACUGGCAGACUAGAGUACUGUAGAGGGGGGUAGAAUUUCAGGUGUAGCGGUGAAAUGCGUAGAGAUCUGAAGGAAUACCGGUGGCGAAGGCGGCCCCUGGACAGAUACUGACACUCAGAUGCGAAAGCGUGGGGAGCAAACAGGAUUAGAUACCCUGGU